AAUUGACUUGUGGACUAUGGAAACUAAAUGGACCCAAAAUCAGCAAUCUGGUGAUCCAGGGAAGCUGAUGAUUUGGUUCCAGUUCAAGUCCAGAGCCUUGAGAACCAGACCAUGCAUUUCAAUGGAAAUAUGGAGAAAAAAGUGCAUCCUGUGGUUCAGUGAUACUUAUGUAAUUACUGGAGGAACAGAUGGCCAAUCCAUAGUACACAGAUUCCACAAAAAUUUAGAAGCAAUGUGUCCAUACACACAGCUGAUGACAAGGGAAAACAUUGGAAGCAAAUUGACUUAUGACUUGCUGGAAACUUCGAAUUAUACUAUCAAAUAGAUGAAGAAGGCUGAUGUAUACAAUUUGCCAACAGUGGAGGGCAUUGCGACAAAACAUGCACCCUAUAGGAAAGGCUUCAUAGGGAACAAGCAUGUAUGAGUGGAGCAUGUGUAUGUGAAGAAAAAUUUUCAAAAUCCAUUUUAGCCUUGCCCAUUUUGAAAGAGCUGAGUAGCAUUCUCUUUGUUCCAGGAUCUGAAAACUUAGACUAAAAUGAUUUCAAGGAAGACUUCAUGACUGUUAAUAAAAUAUUAUAUUUCAUAUAUAUAUAUGGUAAAUAUGUCAAGAAAGGUAGAGAAACAGAGAAAUCGGACAAAUAUUGCUUAUGUGGGAAAUCAUCCCAGAAGAUCAACAAAGUUCUGAGAAGGGUCCUAUGAUAGCAGCAAGAUCCUACUGAAGUAUUUGACAUGUCCCUUCACCAAACACAGCCAGGAAAUUUUUCUUUCAGAAACGUAAUUAUAUAUAAUAGAAGAAUUUUGCAUAUAAACAUAUCUCUGAUUUUAUAAUGUAAGUCAAUGGAAAAAUGGACCUACUUUACAGAAAUUUUAAUUAACAUCAUUUAAUGGAAUAAUUGUAUCAUUAAAGUUCAUUAAAUAUUAUGAUUUAUGGCUUUUAAGAAAGAUUAUGUACUCCCAAACAGGUCCCAAAUAUUUUAAAAAUGAUUUUAAUGUGAUAUUCUUUAAAAUAUUUUAAAGGAAAAUGUCAUUUUUAUUUAUUAUAGAAAAUGCUGAAGAAGUAGCAAAAUAAAAGAAAAUAACCACCCAUAAUUUCCCCUCAGAAAUGAAUACUGUUAAGAGUUCAGUAUGUGUAUAUGCUUAUGUUAUUGACAUUUGAGCUCCUACUAUAUAUUUAAUUUAAUUCACUACAUUAUCACAAAUAAUUUUUUGAACUUUUCAUAAUGUUACUGUAAUUUGACAAUUGGAUUAUUUCAAUUCAUGGUAUUAUAAGAAUUAUGAAGGUAGGGCCAGGGAUUCAGGUCGGUGUUUCCGGUGCCUGCCUUGCAAGUGCAAGGUCCGGAAUUCGAUUCCCAGUACCAAAAAAAAAAAAAAAAAAGAAACAUGAAGGUAAACACUUUUUUCCCCCUAUGGACAGGACAGUUAUAUUUUUUUCAAAAUAAAAGCUUUGUUGGGCUGCAUCAAAUAUAGAAGAAAAGGAAUAUUUAGGGGCAUGGUUAAAUUACCAGUGUGCAUAACAAUGAGGUAUGUUUCAAAUAAUCCUUUAAAACUUUAAAAACUGAAGUAUAACAUACCAUGGAAUAGCAUUUUUCCAGUGCUACUAAUGAAAAAAAUUAAAGCAUACAUUGGAAAUUUGCAAUAUGGCUGAAUUUUGUUGCUCCUACCUUUUGACCCUAAUGUAUAGGUUUUAUAGCAGGGUCUGUGUAAAAAAAUUAAACAUUUUCACAAGAUUUUAAUCAUCACUGGGAAGCUGAAGUUAAAGGAAAGAAAAUCAGAUAAAAGUAUAUUGCCCAUGACAGCCAACAUUAUGUAAAUGGCUGUAUGAGGUUGUUUAGAAGGGAAGGGUUAAAAAAAUAGACAAAAAGUUUUUAAAAAAUUACCCCCAAUGUUGAUGUGCUGAUUUGAACAUAAGUACCUAAGUACACCAAAUAGUACAGGAAAGGGGUACACUGCAAGAAGGUCAUCUAUUUACAGAAAACUGAUUUUUUUCUUUACAAACAGAUGUAAGAAUAGGAAUUGUCCACUUUUUAAAAAUUCUACAUUUCAACUCCACUGUUAUUAUAAUCCACUGAAUUACCUGCAUCAAAGGCAGGUCUUUGUUUUCUCCCAUUUGACUUCACAAAUGAAUUUCCAUCAUUUCUUCAUCUCUGUGGCCCUGGGUCUUCUGAAGUCUUUGAGCACAGUCACAGGAAGGCCAAGUUUUGACCUGUAAUUAAAAUGAAGCCACCAGAAACUGGAGGUUAAUAUUUUUUAUAUGAAUCUUUGUCAAUAUCCUGUUCAUUUCUUUAGAACAGAGUUCUGAAAGGAAUACUGAGUCAGAGAGAUUAAGCACUUUGAGGUUCUUUAUAUAGUUUGUCAAAUUUCCUUCUAGGGUAUUUGUGCUAAUUAAUUAUUAUUAUUAGGAUUGCUACUUUUACUAAUCCCUGACAACUCAGCAAAUUAAAACUGAACUGUAUAGCUCUAUUUUCUGUCUUUCAUUACUAAAGAUUCUUACUACUUUUACAUUUAUAUAUGUAUUAGCUAUUUUAAUUUGCCUCUUGUGAAUUGUCAGUUUUUGGCCUUUUGGUGCUUUCCUCUUGAAGAUUUGGGAAUUUUCUUACAAAUCAUGUGUAUUUAUAGAAGACAUUAGAAAAGAUAAAAUGAACACUUUGGGACAAAAAAAACUGUCAGCCUGUCUUACCAGUAUAAUCUCAUUCUUCAAAAUGGUCGCCAUCACCUGGUAUCAUCUACCAUUUCUUUAUGUUUUUCUAAUACUUCCAGGUGAUUACUUGUAUUCUUUUUUGGAAAUAUUUUUCAUGGUAGCUUAUGUUUGGGGCAAAUGUAGAGUUGGAUUGUUUCAUCCUAUCCUUUGAUAUGUAAGGUGCUAUUGACAUUGUCUUUUCUUUUGUUUAUGGAUAUACUUGGCUAUGAAAAUUUUCCUGGGUACCAACAUGAUGAGAAUAUCUUCAUAAAAAAUGGGGUUUUCAAGAACUAAGUUUUGUUAGAAGACCUAGAACAGGAGAAUAUGACCAUGACGUAUGAAAAUGAUAGAACUAUUCAUAAUUGUAAUGAAAGCAGAGUUGAACUGAAAAGAGGUUAUGGAUUCAGUUGCAGUGUGGAUGGUGGUUUGUUUCACCUGAACCAGUGACUCUCAGACUUUAAAACACAUCAGCUGGAAGUGUUGUCAAAAACCACAGGUGCUGGGAGCAACUCUGAGUUUCUGAUUCAGCAGAUCUGAUGUGGAUCUGGUGAUGCCAAUGUCUCUGGUGCCACACCUUGAGAACCACUAAUCUAAGCUAAGAAGCGAGCUUCAGACAAAAUAUUACCUUUUCCACUAGUGCAGACUUGAAUCACAAAAUGCAUAAAUUCUAAAAUCUUAUUUUUAAUUAAAUUCUUUUAUUGGUACAUUGUAGGUAUACAACACAAUUACAUUUCUCAUUAGGAACUGUACCUUUACAUGAUGCAUCUUGGUUCUUAUUUUUUUCCCCAUUCCUAGCCCUCCCUUCACGCCCUCCACCCUUCCCUAUUUACAAAGACUUUAUUUCCAUUUUUUCCAUUUCUCAUCAUUUUUCCUUUCCCUUCUUUCCUUUCCCCUGCCCCUCCCACUACCCCUACCUAUUUGGACAUUUUCUUCCUAUUUUGCAUUAUCGAUUAUUCAUUCUAAUCAUUG
ensembl:lncRNA